AGUGAACGCUGGCGGUAGGCCUAACACAUGCAAGUCGAACGGCAGCACAGUAAGAGCUUGCUCUUACGGGUGGCGAGUGGCGGACGGGUGAGGAAUACAUCGGAAUCUACUUUUUCGUGGGGGAUAACGUAGGGAAACUUACGCUAAUACCGCAUACGACCUACGGGUGAAAGCAGGGGAUCUUCGGACCUUGCGCGAUUGAAUGAGCCGAUGUCGGAUUAGCUAGUUGGCGGGGUAAAGGCCCACCAAGGCGACGAUCCGUAGCUGGUCUGAGAGGAUGAUCAGCCACACUGAAACUGAGACACGGUCCAGACUCCUACGGGAGGCAGCAGUGGGGAAUAUUGGACAAUGGGCGCAAGCCUGAUCCAGCCAUACCGCGUGGGUGAAGAAGGCCUGCGGGUUGUAAAGCCCUUUUGUUGGGAAAGAAAAGCAGCAGGUUAAUACCCCGCUGUUCUGACGGUACCCAAAGAAUAAGCACCGGCUAACUUCGUG
rnacentral:rRNA from 1 species